rnacentral:rRNA from 1 species
AGUGAACGCUGGCGGUAGGCCUAACACAUGCAAUCGAACGGCAGCACAGUAAGAGCUUGCUCUUACGGGUGGCGAGUGGCGGACGGGUGAGGAAUACAUCGGAAUCUACUUUUUCGUGGGGGAUAACGUAGGGAAACUUACGCUAAUACCGCAUACGACCUACGGGUGAAAGCAGGGGAUCUUCGGACCUUGCACGAUUGAAUGAGCCGAUGUCGGAUUAGCUAGUUGGCGGGGUAAAGGCCCACCAAGGCGACGAUCCGUAGCUAGUCUGAGAGGAUGAUCAGCCACACUGGAACUGAGACACGGUCCAGACUCCUACGGGAGGCAGCAGUGGGGAAUAUUGGACAAUGGGCGCAAGCCUGAUCCAGCCAUACCGCGUGGGUGAAGAAGGCCUUCGGGUUGUAAAGCCCUUUUGUUGGGAAAGAAAAGCAGCAGGUUAAUACCCCGCUGUUCUGACGGUACCCAAAGAAUAAGCACCGGCUAACUUCGUG